rnacentral:rRNA from 1 species
CGAAUCCUAGAGAUUCCAUUCUAAGCGGUGGAUCACUAGGCUCGCGGGUCGAUGAAGAACGGGGCCAGCCCCGAGAAUAAGUGCGAAUUGCAGACACAAAGAGCAUCGACUUUUCGAACGCAUAUUGCGGUAUCGGGCCUGCUCGAUACCACGCCUAUCUGAGGGUCGAAUGAGCGAAAAA